GACGAACGCUAGCGGUGUGCCUAAUACAUGCAAGUCGAACGGUUCUUUCUUUGAUGAAGCUUCGGCAGAUUCGUUGAAAGAAUAGUGGCGAACGGGUGAGUAAUGCAUGAGCAAUCUGCCCUAAAGACCGGGAUAAGCUUUCGAAAGGAAGUCUAAUACCGGAUAAUAAAAUCAGAUCGCAUGAUUUGAUUUUCAAAGGUAGCUUUUUAAGCCUCUGCUUUUGGAUGAGCUCAUGUCCUAUCAGCUAGUUGGUGAGGUAAAGGCUUACCAAGGCCAAGACGGGUAGCCGGUCUGAGAGGACGGUCGGCCACACUGGGACUGAGAUACGGCCCAGACUCCUACGGGAGGCAGCAGUAGGGAAUCUUGCGCAAUGGGCGAAAGCCUGACGCAGCGACACCGCGUGGAGGAUGAAGGUUUUCGGAUCGUAAACUCCUGUCAAUAGAGGAAGAAGGUAUUAUAGGUGAAUAGCUUAUAAUAUUGACGGUACUUUAUAAGGAAGCCCCGGCUAACUACGUGCCAGCAGCCGCGGUAAUACGUAGGGGGCGAGCGUUCACCGGAUUUAUUGGGCGUAAAGCGCACGCAGGUGGCUUUUCAAGUCGGAUGUGAAAUCUCUUAGCAAAACUAAGAAAUUGCAUCCGAAACUGGAUUGCUUGAGGUCGGGAGAGGAGAGUGGAAUUCUCGGUGUAGCGGUGAAAUGCGCAGAUAUCGAGAAGAACACCAUUAGCGAAGGCGGCUCUCUGGAACGAUACUGACACUAAGGUGCGAAAGCUAGGGUAGCAAACAGGAUUAGAUACCCUGGUAGUCCUAGCUGUAAACGAUGGGCACUGGAUGUAGGAAGAUAUCGAUUCUUCCUGUGUCGUAGCUAACGCGUUAAGUGCCCCGCCUGGGGAGUACGACCGCAAGGUUAAAACUCAAAGGAAUUGACG
rnacentral:rRNA from 1 species